rnacentral:rRNA from 1 species
GACGUACUGCGCGAACGUUAUUCGGAAUCACUGGGCUUAAAGGGUGCGCAGGCGGCUCUCAAAGCCCGAAGUGAAAUGCCCCGGCCUAACCGGGGACGUGCUUCGGGGACUUGAGGGCUCGGGCGAGCUAGGGGUCCGUGGAACUCCCGGUGGAGCGGUGAAAUGUGUUGAGAUCGGGAGGAACGCCGGUGGCGAAAGCGACGGACUGGGGCUUUGCCGACGCUCAGGCACGAAAGCCAGGGGAGCGAACGGG